rnacentral:misc_RNA from 1 species
GAAAUGCGAUAAGUAAUGUGAAUUGCAGAAUUCAGUGAAUCAUCGAAUCUUUGAACGCACAUUGCGCCCGCCAGUAUUCCGGCGGGCAUGCCUGUUCGAGCGUCAUUACAACCCUCAGGCCCCCGGGCCUGGCGUUGGGGAUCGGCGGAAGCCCCCUGCGGGCACAACGCCGUCCCCCAAAUACAGUGGCGGUCCCGCCGCAGCUUCCAUUGCGUAGUAGCUAACACCUCGCAACUGGAGAGCGGCGCGGCCACGCCGUAAAACACCCAACUUCUGAAUGUUGACCUCGAAUCAGGUAGGAAUACCCGCUGAACUUAAGC